UGGGGAAUCUUGCACAAUGGAGGAAACUCUGAUGCAGCGACGCCGCGUGAGCGAAGAAGCCUUUCGGGGUGUAAAGCUCUUACGCCAGGGACGAUAAUGACGGUACCUGGAGAAGCAGCUGCGGCUAACUACGUGCCAGCAGCCGCGGUAAUACGUAGGCAGCAAGCGUUGUUAGGAAUUACUGGGCGUAAAGGGUGCGUAGGCGGCGCUCUAAGUUUGGUGUGAAAUCUCCCGGCUUAACUGGGAGGGUGCACUGAAAACUGGGGCGCUCGAGUAUGGGAGAGGAAAGCGGAAUUCCUGGUGUAGCGGUGAAAUGCGUAGAGAUCAGGAGGAACACCUGCGGUGCAGACGGCUUUCUGGACCAUCACUGACGCUGAGGCACGAAAGCGUGGGUAGCAAACA
rnacentral:rRNA from 1 species